GACGAACGCUGGCGGCGUGCUUAACACAUGCAAGUCGAACGGAAAGGCCCUGCUUUUGUGGGGUGCUCGAGUGGCGAACGGGUGAGUAACACGUGAGUAACCUGCCCUUGACUUUGGGAUAACUUCAGGAAACUGGGGCUAAUACCGGAUAGGAGCUCCUGCUGCAUGGUGGGGGUUGGAAAGUUUCGGCGGUUGGGGAUGGACCCGCGGCUUAUCAGCUUGUUGGUGGGGUAGUGGCUUACCAAGGCUUUGACGGGUAGCCGGCCUGAGAGGGUGACCGGCCACAUUGGGACUGAGAUACGGCCCAGACUCCUACGGGAGGCAGCAGUGGGGAAUAUUGCACAAUGGGCGGAAGCCUGAUGCAGCAACGCCGCGUGCGGGAUGACGGCCUUCGGGUUGUAAGCCGCUUUCGCCUGUGACGAAGCGUGAGUGACGGUAAUGGGUAAAGAAGCACCGGCUAACUACGUG
rnacentral:rRNA from 1 species